rnacentral:lncRNA from 13 species
GGAAAUAAAUACCUGCUUACUUACAAAUACAUGAGGAUAUACACCAUAUAGGUAGCAUGCGGGCCAGGGAAGAGAAGCUGUCAAAAGAGACCAAGAAGAGGGCAUUGGAGAAACAGACAGUGUGGUAAAGAGAUAGGUCACAGAAGCCAAGAGGAGACAGCAUUAGAAAGAGGGAGCAGCUGGCUGGCAGCAUGUCACAUGUUGCCAAGAGGUUAAAUUGGAUGAAGACUAAAAAAAGGCCUUGGGAUUGAGAGAUGAGAAGGUCGCCAGGACCACAAGGACACUUCAUUGCCCUCUUGAAUCAGACACAAAUGGGAGAUGAAGAAGUGGAGGCAACAGGACAGAAACACAAGUUCAAGAAAUUUGUAAGCAGGAAGAAAAAAGAACCGUGGAUUAAAUGAGAUGCAGAUACUCCUGGGAGAGGUGACACAUGGAAUCCCUGAAUUUUAAGGCCGAGAAAACUUUGGACUUACCCAAGGCUGGAAGCCAAGUGGUUCCACUCUUCACCAUAGCCUGUGUGCACCUGUGUCUUCACACAGUCCUAGCAAGAAUGACCUUAAAAGACCUGUUCCUUAAUCUCCAAGCUCUACUUAAAAGUCUCUCAGCUGGAAUUCUGGAGAAAACAAUAUUUGGAUUCAGGUCAAAUGUCCAGCUUUGGAAUCUGUCCACAUGGAUGUGGUCGUGUCUGACACUUCCUAGCUCAGUGACUUUGGGCAUCUAUUAGAGUUUCAGUCACCUCAUCUGUAAAAUGGGGAUAAAAACAGUAGUGUUGUUGUGAAAUAAUAUGUGAGAAGUGCCUGUUGCAGUGCCUGGGAUGCGACAAGUGGUAGUUGCCACCAUUUCCAUUCCAAAGAUGAACUCAAAGAAACUUGUAUCCAAAAAAAUGGAUUAAAAAGUAGUGGUGACUCAGAAGGGCGAGGCCUGUGGCUACUG